AUCCCUUCGGGAGGUCUAAUAAAUUUGGAACGACAUAGAGAAAAUUUGCAUAACCUCUAUAUAAGAAUGACAUGCACAAAUCAAGAAUAUAACACAAAUUUG